UGAAGGUGGAACAGAGGCUGGUACGGAGAGUCGGCAGGGAAAGGAAAGUCGAUCCAAAAACCAUCACAGUUGUGACUGGUCUUGGCCCCGCAGUGGGCCAGCCACAGCUAGCCAGCUCUGACCUCACUCCCAGGAGGCUGCUAAGAGCUGUUUUCGGAGAAGUAGGCAUUCCUCAGAGGAACACAGAGCCACAAAGUUUUCCUGCAGCGGGCAAAAGGGCAGAUGGCUGGCAUGACUCACGGCCCUUUGCAGGACUUUGAGAAGAUUUGGCUUAAGUGGAUCUUUGCCUUGUUCAAGUUACUGGAACACGACAACAGUACAAAGAAGCCCUCAGACAAGAAGACAAUUCCUGUUCCUGGCCCCGGUGGCCCCAAAGACAGAACACACACACACACACCCCGCCCGCUAUUCUUUUGGAAUUGCAUUUAGACCUGCAGCUGACCACCUCUCUGCCAGGCCCCAUUAAGCCAAAAUCACUGUAAAAAUCCCCCUUUCACAGAUGUGAAAAGUCAGACAUAACGGGGUGAUGUGCCCCAAAUCACAAUGGAAGUAGAACAAAAAUUGGACCUAAGUAUGUCUGAUUUUAAAGCCACUCUUUCUCCCACACCAUUUUGCCUUUAAGAGGGAUCUAUGCCCAGGGAGGGAUUAAAACUCAAAUUGCAGAGAAAUCUGAAAUCUGACUGGAGGGCUGCCACCAUGCAGAAGAAGCAGUCUGCGAACAAAGCCGGCGCUCCAGCCGGCCUCCCGUUCUCGGUGUUGGCCCUCUCGCUAACAGACAGCCCAGGGCGAAGAAGUGUAGGGGAUGACAAGGAUGGGGCCCCGGGGGACUGCCCUUAAACGGAGCCUUACCUAAAGGAUGCGAUGUUCAAAGAGGCUCAGUUUUCAGUGUGCGCGCUCCUUCCGACUCCCGGGAGAGAAGCUGUCAUUGAAGGGAGUCACAAUAUUUGUGCGUAUUGCAGACAGCUUUUCUCUUUUGAAAGCUGCACACACAGGAAGUACUUGCUAGAGGACAAGAUUGUUCUGGGUGAUGGAAAUGCAAAGAAGAAUGAAAGAGAGUGUCUUUCUCAGAAGAGUAAAUGCAUCUGGUGGGUUCUCUGAUAAAGAACGACAGGAGCCCAGGGGCAAUUCUGGCUUGAAAUCCCAGCGUUAGGCUCAUUCCUUUGAAUUAAGGCUAACUCAGUGGUGUGGAUUAGCUGGUCCCUUUGAAAUGAAACAGACCCGGAGAAAGUUAAGUUUCUAUGAGGAUAUCAAAAGGUCCAGAAGCCUGUAAAUUGUGGCGGAGGCAUAACAAGGGCAGCAUGAGGCCAUUUGCAAAUCAAGAAAGACCCCCUUCCUUCCUUUUUCCUCUAUCGCUGUAAGUUUCUUAAAAUACA
rnacentral:lncRNA from 1 species